GAAUUCAACGCAAGAUCCUGCUAAUAGCAGACCGAGUACAAUACACGGCAACUUGAUAAUAAUAUUUAUGUUCACUUCAAUAGCUAGGGAGGCGUCAGGUAAUGUGCACGCUUCAGAGGAAAGAGAUGAUGCACAUUACUCCUUUCUGCAAGUAAAGAAAGGAUUUGUUCCGUAACAAGGAUGGAAAGUAUUUGCCAAAAAAAAACAAGGAUGGAAAGUAUAACAGCUUACAAAAACCAACGUCGACAACACAGAUCUGGAACUCGAGUAAAUCAUACUCACAAAUAAGUUUUUGAGAAGAGAGACUUGGAAACCAGAGAAGAGGAGCGAAGAUCAAGACUAGAAUUUGAAAAAAAACAUGAUGGCAAAGUUUACAAAAUUGAGCCAACUGAUGGGAACCCAACAGAUGAUUACAUUCAUAUGCUUGCGACCUUGUAAGAUUUAUGUUGCUUAAUUGCAUUGCUAAAAGUGCACUUCUAUUUUCAGGUGCUAACGAAGAGGAUUAACAAAGAAAAUAGUAUCCAAACUUGCAAAAUACUCUUUUACAUAGAUCUACUCCUAAUAAGACUCCAGUUGCAAGGACAACUGUUAUUUCUUCAAAUGCUCUCAUACAAGUUGCAACGAGGAAUUCUCGAAUGUUUAAAGCAAUGGAUCCAAAGAACUAGCUGGACUGGACUCUAGAUCAUGGACAAUUUAGUUUGGCACUUAAUUAGGAUGGCUAAAUUACAUCUGAGUUUCAUUUGAUGGAUAUUUGCUAUGAGAAUUAUGAAUUUAUGAAUGUACAUAUUAUAUG